rnacentral:misc_RNA from 1 species
CACAAUAAAAUAUGAAGGCUGUACGCGGCUGUGCUCUCGGGCCAGUUUUGCGGAGGCUGAAUUAUUUAUUACCCCUUGUCUUUUGCGCACUUGUUGUUUCCUGGGCGGGUUCGCCCGCCACCAGGACCACAUCAUAAACCUUUUUUAUGCAGUUGCAAUCAGCGUCAGUAUAACAAAUGUAAAUCAUUUA